UGAAGCUGAAAAACAGAGAAACUACUUUGAAAUCAGAAAUCAGGAUGACUCAUCGGGGAGAGAAUAUUAAGGCCCUCGUGGCAAUUGCAAACACUGCAGUCAGCAUUACAGUUGGGAGUCUGACCAUAACACCUGCUUCUCUCGCUGUAUUAGGAACAGUAAUAGUAGUUGGAACAGUCGGAUCAGUUUGGUUGUUAAAAAAAUAUGCUAAGCGCACAUGAGAUAUAUGAUUAUCCCGUUAACUUCAACAACUACUCCAAAAUCAAGAGACAGUGCCAAUCGCUACUGGAAACAACUGCUUUGAAAUUCUGCCAGGUCACAUUAUAGAAAACUUUUAUUUAAAUGUGUUACUGAAGGCAAAAAUCACCAAGAUAACUAAACUGAUCAACCUGAAAAUCACUAAUGUGCUCAGAAUGAAAUUAUGCUUCAUUUACUGCUGUUAUAAGCCUCGUAAUUUACCUUCUUGUUUGUGAUAAGAAAUGAGAAAUCAAAAGCAAAGCUGCUCUGCUCUUAGAAAUCAUGUUCAGUGCAUACUUAUGAUUCAAUAAAAACAUGAGGUAGCUCAA